AUAAUAUACAUAAUGCGUAACUAUUUUAUUAUUAACCCACACAUUUAUUAUUGUGCAUCCUUUGCAUGAUUGAUUCAAUGUGAUUACCGUUUUCUCUCUAUCAAGAAAGCGUAUCGAUGGAAUUUUAUUCAAUCUUUGGUCUUUCGAUUGAUCAUGCAUUUCAUUUUCACUAAUAUAUUGUCGCUAUAGUCACAUACAUUCAUCAUACAAUUAUUUUAUUCUGUUAAAUAUUAAUGUAUUCAUGUAAUCUUCAGCAGCAGAUUUGAUUUUCGACAUGCAAACGUCAAACUUUCGUGAAUACUGUCUGCUAGAUUGCCGCCAUUAUGGUUUACCUUAUCCUCACAGACGCAUGAGAUCCCUGGCGGGUUUCCGUCGUACUAAGACAUGAUAAUCACAGAGCUCAACACAGGGAGUGUAGGGAAGUCGGAACCACCUCUUACUCUUACACCGUGAGCUGAACCUCUCUGUUGUACGACGAAAGGGCGGGGAGCAGCUGCUAGGCGGCGAGAGCAAUAAGGUUGAAAAACACAAUCGGGGAGGUAUACUUUUAUGAGGUUAUGUGUUUCAUCCGCCGAGCACCAAUUAGAAUGAGAGGUUCGGCUCCUGUUGUUGCCGUCUCUUUCUGAUUAUAUCUUGAACUCGGUGUACAGCCGCAAAAUCUAUCUGCCUGAGUACACGGCGUAUUUCAUAAAAGAAAGGAGUGCAAAGGCAUUGAAAGUACGCAAAAGCACCAUGAUGAAAUGAAAAAAAAAGUGACUUGCCAGCUGACGUCUCUUCUGAUGUAGGACAUUCAAUUUUGUACCAAAGUGACAUUAUCAACAAGAAAAUUGAAACGAAUAAUGACAAUUUAAUGUGGAACUGAAAUUACUCAAUUUGAGGGCAAGUUUGGUCAUCAGCUUUUUUGUUUUUUUUCUGCUUUCAGUCCAAAACUGUGAUAAUUGGCUGAAGAUUAUUCUUCGGCGAACACUGUGAGUAUGUCUCAGACACAAAAUCUAUGAUUAAAACAUUAAUUACAUUAUCUUAAAGUUACUAAUUCUGAAUCUUAAGCUUAUUAACAUUACUCUAAAUACUAAUCAGAAAUUUUAUCAUCAGUGAUGUAUUUUGAAUCGUUCAGUUACUUUUUUAUACCCGACAUAUGACAGUUUGAUUAAAUAUUAGUAGAAAAAUUCAAGUGCGAAUAUUGUAUACACUAACAAAUGUAAAACUGAAUGAGCGACUCCAAUGUGCAGAUGAACAGUAGUAAGUUGUCCUGGGAUACAGAAACUAUUUAACAAUAAAUACGAAAUAUGAACACGGACUUGUUCUGAAAUUUGAAUUAUUUAAUCAAAAUGUGUUCAUAUUCAGAGUCGCAGACAGGGUACCAUGAUUAACGGUAAAAGUGAAAAUGUAGAAAAUAAUAAGUUUUAGUUCGGGUUCAAUCUACAGGAUGGAGAUGAAAAAAUCCCUGAUGAAACGAUUGGUAAGCCAAUAAUAAAAUAAACAACAUUGGGCGAACAUAUGUCGUAUACACGUAAGAACCGGCACUUACUUUUGCUCAUUUUUCGGACCUGGAUGCUGCAAAGUAGCUCCAUUUAAUGGACAGGUAGAAGCAGGUGGAGUUGCUAUAGAAAAGAUAUAUACUGAAUUGGUGUGCUAAUAGUCAUAGUGGAGCCAUCCCAUAGUGGAUAAUGUAAGGGUAUAGAGUAAUCCUGAGUAACUCAAGUGACUGACUUCACCUCAUGUUUUCUAUGUACAAAUAUACUGCCCACUGAUAGAUGUAGGCAUACCCAAUAUUUCAUAAUUUGCGAUCUUGAUUUCUUUAGUGAUCU
rnacentral:lncRNA from 1 species